rnacentral:lncRNA from 1 species
CCCACAGUUCAGUACUAAAGGGGAGGGGAGGUGCAGGGAGAAAGGAACACGCUAAAAAAUGAAGUUACACCAAGAGGUUUGUAGAACUUCUGAGCAAAACUUUUGUUUGGUUUUGACAACCGCAUUAAGCUACUACUGAAGCAGUAGCUUUCUUCUUUCUUCAUCUGAAGGAAGAAAUACUCCACGUCUCAGUGAUUCCAAGCCCUUUUUUUUUUUUUCCCCCAAAGCAGGGAAUGAUCCCGAGGAAAGUUUCUGCUUGGACAAUCAGCCUAGGUGCUGCUGCAGCAGCAGCUGCAAGGACCUUCAAAGGGAGCAACUUGCAGGGAAGGAUAAGGGUUCUUCUGCUGGAAGAUGCAGGACAAUGUACAUCUCCCAGAGGACUCAACAGUGUCCCGCUGCUGUGUGCUGGUCAGGAUGAUGCAGUCCCUCCUGAGUGCAGGGAAGAAAAGGACAACACAGGGAAACCUCACAUACCAGAGAUCUAAGGAAAUGCUACAGCUAACCAUGGAAAGCUUCUGCCCAUUUCCAUUGACUAGUGUUCUAGUGCCUCUCUACACAGCAUUAAGUCAGCGUUCAGCUUCACCAGCAGCCAGACCCUGCUGCAGCGACUGCAGAGUUGGACAAUUCCUACCCUCACCCCAAG